GCCAGACUCCUACGGGAGGCAGCAGUGGGGGAUAUUGCACAAUGGGGGGAACCCUGAUGCAGCGACGCCGCGUGGGUGAAGGAGCGUUUCGGCGCGUAAAGCCCUAUCGGCAGGGAAGAAGGAGGACGGUACCUGACUAAGAAGCCCCGGCUAACUACGUGCCAGCAGCCGCGGUAAUACGUAGGGGGCAAGCGUUAUCCGGAUUUACUGGGUGUAAAGGGGGCGCAGACGGCAGCGCAAGCCAGGAGUGAAAGCCCGGGGCCCAACCCCGGGACUGCUCUUGGAACUGCGCGGCUGGAGUGCAGGAGGGGCAGGCGGAAUUCCUGGUGUAGCGGUGAAAUGCGUAGAUAUCAGGAGGAACACCGGUGGCGAAGGCGGCCUGCUGGACUGUAACUGACACUGAGGCUCGAAAGCGUGGGGAGCAAACAGGAUUAGAUACCCCUGUAC
rnacentral:rRNA from 1 species